ensembl:lncRNA
GAGAAAACAUACCCAAAGCCAGCUUCCACUGUGCAGACGAGUGGUGUAAGGAAACCUGGGAAGCCAUUCACAAAGAAGGGAUAAAAGGUGUGACACAUGCAGUGGGGUGGCGCUUGUCAGGCCCAGUGCAGCCACCUGUAGUCUGAAGGUCUGUGGCAGAGCUGAUCUCCCUAUGCUCAGCAGAUGAAAAUUGGAACUUCUAGGUGGUUCCUUUGACAAGUGGACAUAAAAUGGGUCAAGUGAGAAAUGAUCCUCCUCCUCCUCCUCUCUUCUUAAAAAGAGAAUAAUUUGCCACUGGAUUGGAAACAAAUGAGUACCACGUUGUCACGGCAGGUCUAUCUGAUUCCCAGAUAUGUUCCUUGCAAUUGCUAAUUCUUUUCAUCAUGAAAAUGGCAGAGGUGAAAUAACAAGUAUUCACAGAGCUCAUUUAACGGAGAAGGAACUGAAAAAUAGUGGUCUGGAUUCAUUCCUCUUCUAUUUAGAAGUUCAGCUUGGUGUGCUUGCAGUAUGUAUGCUACACGAUAUGGAAGUACUUACCCCAAAGAAAUGCGGAAUGUAGAGUCUUUAUCCUGGGAAAGAUCUGGUAGAGGUGUGUACAACUGUCCCUCAGAGAAGCUGAAUUGGAAACAGCUGAUCACAUUCUCUCACUUUUAUCAAGAGUGGAACUCAUCAACUGAAAUAAACUCAUGGUGGAUUCCAAAGAAACAUGAGAGUUGCCUAAUGGUAAGGAAUUAAAUUUCAGAACUCAUUGCCUUGGGAUGCAGGGAUGGCUUCAGAGAGAUUAAGUACAUCUGCAACAUAACGAUUAUUCAAAGGCUGAUUUCAGACUUGGGACUCUGGACAGUUGUGAAUAUUUGGUCUGAAUCAGGAUGACCAUACAUACACUCUUUGUUUUGUUCUUCUGAAUGAGUGCCUGAGCAAUCAUUGAGGGACAUAGGAAGCUUGACUUUCAGCCAGCCAUACCAGUGAUUUCUCUGAAGGUGGCAUGAAGGACUCAAAGCAUUGCCCCACGUCAUUCAAGAGAUCUGUGGUGCAGCAGGGUAACUCAGCUCUACAGCUAGCAACUGAAAACAUCCAUCAUGUCUACUCAGCAUUUUUUUGACUUACACAGCUUUACCCCAGAGCUCAAGCAAUUAUUUGCAGCCUGAAAAAAAGGGCAGCUACAGUCACUCGUAAGAUUUGGUCUCCUGCAUGGCUAUACAGGAGACUUCAGUCAUCUUGUGGGCACAAAUACAGUUUCUGAAUUGUGAGUGUAUAUAUGUAUGUUAUCAUACUCUUUCACUGUGAAAGUAGUAACUACUGUAUGUGGUAAAAUGAUAUAUUGUUGUCCGCAGAAUGUCUUUGGCAACAGGAUGUUCACUAGCCUUGGAAUUUUGCCUUGUAUAAAUAUUUUUAAUCUACUCCAUGUAGGCAUAUUUUGGCUGCAAAAUAAAGGGUUUUGGAGAUUAAUAUAUCCAGGCUCAGUUCUGCUUAUACAUCCUACAUACAUCAAGUUUUUAUUGAAC